rnacentral:rRNA from 1 species
UACGUAGGGCGCAAGCGUUGUCCGGAAUUAUUGGGCGUAAAGAGCUCGUAGGUGGUUUGUCGCGUCUGUUGUGAAAGCCCGGGGCUUAACUCCGGGUUUGCAGUGGAUACGGGCAGGCUAGAGGCAGGUAGGGGAGAACGGAAUUCCCGGUGUAGCGGUGAAAUGCGUAGAUAUCUGGAGGAACACCGGUGGCGAAGGCGGCAUCCUGGACCGGCAUUGACGCUGAGGCGCGAAAGCCAGGGGAGCAAACGGG